UCGAACGAGACCUUCGGGUCUAGUGGCGCACGGGUGCGUAACGCGUGGGAAUCUGCCCUUUGCUUCGGAAUAACAGUUAGGAAUGACUGCUAAUACCGGAUGAUGUCUUCGGACCAAAGAUUUAUCGGCAAAGGAUGAGCCCGCGUAGGAUUAGGUAGUUGGUGGGGUAAAGGCCUACCAAGCCGACGAUCCUUAGCUGGUCUGAGAGGAUGAUCAGCCACACUGGGACUGAGACACGGCCCAGACUCCUACGGGAGGCAGCAGUGGGGAAUAUUGGACAAUGGGCGAAAGCCUGAUCCAGCAAUGCCGCGUGAGUGAUGAAGGCCUUCGGGUCGUAAAGCUCUUUUACCAGGGGUGAUAAUGACAGUACCUGGAGAAUAAGCUCCGGCUAACUCCGUGCCAGCAGCCGCGGUAAUACGGAGGGAGCUAGCGUUGUUCGGAAUUACUGGGCGUAAAGAGUACGUAGGCGGCUAUUCAAGUCAGAGGUGAAAGCCCGGGGCUCAACCCCGGAACUGCCUUUGAAACUAGGUAGCUAGAAUCUUGGAGAGGUCAGUGGAAUUCCGAGUGUAGAGGUGAAAUUCGUAGAUAUUCGGAAGAACACCAGUGGCGAAGGCGACUGACUGGACAAGUA
rnacentral:rRNA from 1 species